GGCUCGGUAGCUUAGUUUAUAAAGCACUCGUCUAGCAUACAAGAGUCGAGGGUCCGAAUCCCACCAGAGCAC
rnacentral:tRNA from 1 species